rnacentral:rRNA from 1 species
GAUGAACGCUGGCGGCGUGCCUAACACAUGCAAGUCGAGCGAACGGACGAUAAGCUUGUUUCUUUCAUGUUAGCGGCGGGCGGGUGAGUAACGCGUGGAUCACCUACUUAUAUUUCUGGGAUAAUUACGGGAAACCGUAUCUAAUACCAGAUAAUAUUUUGAACCGCAUGGUGCAAAGGUGAAUUACGGUCUUGGUGUCUCUUAUAGCUGCUUCCGCGCUGGAUUAGCUGGUUGGUAGGGUAACGGCUUACCAAGGCUACGAUGCAUAGACGAACGGAGAGGGGGAUCGGCGACACUGGAACUGAGACACGGUCCAGACUCCUACGGGAGGCAGCAGUAGGGAAUCUUCGGCAAUGGGCGAAAGCCUGACGGAGCAAGGCCGCGUGUGUGAUGAAGGCCUUCGGAUCGUAAAGCCCUGUUUUUAGGUAAGAACAGCUGUGUCAGUAGACGUAGCCUUCGUGACGGUACCUAAUCAAAAAGCAACGGCUAACUACGUG